CAGAGAAAGUCUGGCCUGACCAGGCGUCUGCCCACGUCUUCCUGGCUGCUUGGGUGACACCGCCCAAACGCGGCUCAUUAUUCUGUUUUUCUUCCUUGCCUGAGCAAGACAAUGGUGGUGGUGGUGGUGAGGAAUGUUUGCUCUGCCCUGUUAGACUGACAUUGAAUCAGAGCAUUUGCUUCAAGUAGGGGAGGGAGAAGCGCGCGAGGGGUAGGGGGGUGGGGGUGUCUCACUGCUCUGCUCCUCCCUGCUUUUCAACUCCCAGGUUGUCUUGUUUAGUCCCAUGGAUUCCCAAAGUGCCUUGGUUGCUUGCUUCCUCUGUCCCUACCAGCUUCUGCCUGGGGCUUUGCGGCAGCUUCUGAGGGAGAGUAACGUCGCAGGGCAUCUCUGAAAAUGGAAAGGGCUGCCUGCAGAAGGAGCUGGCCUCCCUGCCAUGGGGAGCGGGCAUGGGGCUUAUUCACUUUGAAGAAAAGGGAGGUACUCACAUGCAGCCAGCAGGGAACUAAAGCUGGUCUGAGAAAAUUCAAGUGCCCCCCCUCCCCCCUACCCCUGUUCAUUACUUGUUUUGCCUGGUGGAUAUUAAAAUGCAAAGAAGUUGAGAAACAUACAGCGCUCUGAGGGUCAGAGGCGGGGUGCUGCAGCAGGCUUUGUCCUGCUGGUAAAUGGAAAAGCACCAUUUGCCCAGUUGAUGAGAAUGUCCUGUGCUUGCCCUUUGUGACAGCCGAGAACCCCAGGGAUGGUAUAGCUCUAUGUAGAGAGGCAGCAGGGGGUCGUGGGUAGGUCCUAGAUUGGGUGGAGAAGUUGAGUAUGAUUUGAGUGUCAUACUCAGCUCUGCCAAAUUCAAACCUCUAGCCUGGGUAAGUUAUGACUCUUCACCUCUCCAUCUUUGGAAAGUGUGGACUAUGGCAGGCUUAAGGUCCCUUCUGUAAAUUUUAUUCAGGAAGGAGAGAUUACAAAUGCUAUACCAAAAGUACAUGUACGUCAUCCUUUGGGUCAAAUGGAAGGCACGAGACGUUAACCUACAGUGUGAGACAUGAAGUGUGGGAAGGGACUCACAGAUGUGCUGGGCAGGAUAGGGAUGUGUCUCGUUGCAGGGAGGCUUCAAACACAACUUCAAAAAUUUUUCAUUUUUGAAGGAUUUAGAUAGAAAUAAGAACAGCCUCUUGAGUGGGGACUAUGACCCAAGUACUGGGGGAGAGGAGAACCUAUGAAGAAGGCCAGCUUGUGAGGGGCAGGGAGGACUCUGGGAACUAUAGUGAAGCCUGUCUUGUGCCACAAGGAGCAGGAGAGGAGAGACCUGUUCCCAGCGGUGAUUUCAAUGAGUGACCCUGCUUGGAGUGACAUUCACCAACAGCCCAGCCAGAAGAGGUGAAAGGAAACCAGAUGCCCCAGCAGCAGAAAGCUUAGCUGGGAACACAGGCUCUGGGACGAGAAGAGGCACACCCAGCCGGGCUCACUUCUGACCCUUUGCUGAACUCAGUCUUGCCCCUGCCCAGAUUAAGGGCUAAGCCAGUCCUCAUCGUCAGCACAGCAGUAUCGAGAGGAAGACUGCGGCUGCUCUAAUUGCUAUGAAGUCUCUUGCCCUCAAAACCCUGAAGCACCAAAGCCUGAAUCCUUCCCGCGAAACACUGACCUCUCUCUCUCGGGCCCAGUCAUGCCCACUGCCCAAGUGCAGCAGCCGGGGAGAGCAGAGAUUGUUCUCAUCAUCGCCAAGGGCCGUGGAGAAGAGGAUGCUAGGAGACUUGCCUAUGAAUGAGGGCUUCUAUCUCACAUGUCCUCAGCCUUCUCAUGUUGGCCUUGACUUUCCAUCCUCAGUCUUGUGGUUGGCUGAAAUGUGGGCAUGUGGGUGGUAGGCAAGGACAGGUGCCCUUCUUUCUCUUUCAGAUCGUUCCCCCUGCUUGGCUGGGCUGCUUCUGUGUUCCCUGGAGAUGACAGCUAGGAACCUGGCCACCAGCUUCUGUUGUUCCCUGGGUUCCUUUUGGGCUUGGCCAGUGUGAGACAAGGGCAGGACAUCAGAAGUUGAGAGAGCAUCUCUUCCCCAUUGCUGCCUUUGCUGCCAUGUUUUGUCCCUGACAGGAGCUAUGCCCCUCCAUUCUGUGGCUCUCCCAGGUGACAUCCUGUAGGGUCUCAGCUCUCAAUAUAGACCAGCCACAUUAUUUCUUCCCUUGGCUCCUCUGGGCUCCAGGAUGACAGCAUCUCCCUGCUAUUACCAGUUCCCAGGGGGAGUUGGGGGUGGGGCCUCAGCAUUCCUGACACCUCCCAAUGAUCUAUAAACUAUUCCUCUACUGACA
rnacentral:lncRNA from 1 species